UGGAAGAACUGGUGGGUCCAUUGGUUGACCACCGGUUGGUACCCUCUCAUACAGAAAGUUCAUCCUCUUGCCCUUUCCCACUGUGUCGAUAUGGGAAUGAGUUUUUCCCCUCCUUUAUGCCUCUAGUGAUUAACCUGCACAUUUUUGAGUAGGCUGUGCCAGGAAGCACCUUUGCAAUUCCUGAUCUUUCAUAAACUUUGCAAAAGUCCCAGGUUUUUGUUUUCUUCCCAAGAUUCAUUUCCUACCAGUUACAUCUACUAUUUCCGAUCCUCUCUGGCAAAAUUGCAAGGAGUAGCAUCAGCACAUCUUUGUACAGUAGGCGAAUAUAUUUGGAAUGCUUAUUUCUGAGAGCUGUUGAAGACGACUAACAAUUUUACACCACACAAAAGGACUGACAAUAAAUUCAGGAGUGGCAAAUGGAACCUCUGUUCUGUUUCCCUCUCAGUAAAUAAAUAACUGCAAAACCUGUGCUCCAAUACCAAAGCGUCAAAUCCAUGGCGCUCCGUUGAUUAACAUUGAAAAUGUCUUUCUGAAGACAAUACAUUUAGAAGAGUCCUAAGGCUUGCACCAGAAGCUGACACUGAAGGUUUAUUUUAAUGUAGCACAGAUCAAAGUGAAUGAUGUGAAAAGAGUUCUGUUUCUCCUGGAAGGAUGCCACUUGUUCCUACUCCUGGGGAAAUGUCUUCCAAGCUCUUUACCAAAUCUGCAAGCUAAAGCAACUCAACUGUGGCUACCCUGCCCACCUGAAGACCUCAGGAUCCACCAGGAGCCCAAGACACCUCAAAAAGCUGGUGCAAGGGCCCAAGGAACCACGGUGCACAGCUGCUAUCCUCUAUAAAAUUUCAGAACCAGAGCUUUUCAGAUCCAAGACACACGGACCUGCACUCAGAUGCUGACUCUGCCACCCUACCACUGACUCAGUCUAUGAAGGUGGACAAGUCCCACAGCACAGACAAACGUCAGCUUCCUCCUCUGCAAAACAGGGUUAACAAUAGCAAUCACCCUAUGUAUGUGUUGUAAGGAUUGAGUGAGAUAAUAUCUGGAGACACUUAGCCCAAGGCAAGGCCCAAGGUUGUUCCUCUUGUUAUUUAUUAUUUCAGUAUUUCUUUUUUCCUAGCUUCAUGACCAAUUGCCAUUCAGCCCUCUCCUUUGGGUCCCCACAAGCCCCAUCAGUAACUCCUAUCUCAGGCUCCAAGCUGUACUGGGUUGACUACCAUUGCCCCAAAAUUCAUGUCCACCUGGAAACUCAGAGUAUGACCUUAUUUGAAAAGAGGAUCUUUGCAGGUAUAAUAUGUUUAGGAUGUCAAAGUGAGAGCUUACUGGAAUAGAGUAGGCUCUACAUCCAUUCAAAGUGUUCUUACAAGGAAAGGAGAGGCACAGAGGGACACAGGAAGCAGGAAGGCCAUGCCUGGACAGAGGCAGGGAUUGGAGUGACACUGCCCGGAGCUGAAGGAGGCCAGGAGAACCAGAAGCUAGAGGAGGCUGGGACGGAUUCUUCCCUGGAGGCUUUAGCAGGAGCACAGGCUGCUGACACCUCAAAUCCAUCUCUUGUUUUAAGGCACCAAGUUUCUCAUCAUUUGUUACAGUAGCCUGGAAAACUCACACACAAGUGAAGCCCCGACUCACCCUGCAGUGCCCAUCCGAACACCCCUCAUGUACUCUGAGCAGGGCAAUAACAACAAAAAAACAAAAACCAAUCCUGAACUAGAAAUGCAAGAGAAAAAUGAAGCAAUCAAAAAUUGCACAGCUGUUUCUGCCUUCCCCUGAAGGUAUGCCCAGUAUGUUGUAGGUAGCUUGGUGGCAUUUCAUGGUGAUGUUUUACAAGUUGGUUUUGGCAAUAAUCAUAUCCUUUCUUUUUUUUUUUUUUUUUUUUUUUUGAGAUGGAGUCUCAUUCUG